UACAAAUUAAAUUCUAUAAUCAGGUGUAAACCAAAAAAAAACACAUAAAAUUACUUGUCCUUAUAAAGGUUUAACUUUUUUAACCGACUUCCAAAAAAGGAGGAGGUUCUCAAUUCGACUGUAUUUUUUUUUUUUUUUUUUUUUUUUUUUUUUUUUUUUUUUUUUUUUUUUUUUUUUUUAUAUUAAAUAUUUUUUUUUUAUUUUUUUUUUUUUAUGAUACAUUAAAAAA
rnacentral:misc_RNA from 1 species